GAAACAGCGUUCGCAGAUGUGAGGGCAGUGGCUGCGGCAGAAAGGCUUUGUCAACACCAGCAAAUCACUGUUUCUGCCUCUGCAAGGUCAGCUUCUGAAGGCAACAUGUCUGAGACCACGGCUCCGCAACCGAAUAGUCUGAAGUGACCAGAAGAUCCAUGAGGAUGGAAGUGUUCUGAAGGAGGAAGGGUGAGGUCUAUCUCAGAGAGCUCAGCCCCACAGCAGUGAGGGAGGCCGUGCUGGUGACUCCUGCAGGGACUCCUCCCAGGGAGGCUGACAUCGGGAACCAUCGCGCUGCCUCCGUUCCCAGGCAGGAUUUCAGCCCAUUAAGAGGACCGGCCCAGCUUGAAAACUCAGACAUCCAUAAAAUC